rnacentral:lncRNA from 1 species
CCUGAGGGGAGGGAUAGACAGUGAACCCAAGCUUGGAUUUCUUGCCAUAAUCAACAGACAGACGCUCAAGGAGCAGAGAACCAAGACCAGAACCAGUUCCUCCUCCAACAGCAUUAAAAACCAAAAACCCUUGGAGACCAGUGCAGUUAUCAGCAAGCUUUCUGAUGCGGUCCAAACACAGAUCCACGAUCUCUUUCCCAACUGAAAACAUACUGGUAUAAUGACCACGGGCGAAGUUGUUGGCAGCAUCUUCUUUGCCACUGAUGAGCUGCUCGGGAUGGAAGAGCUGGCGAUAGGUUCCAGUCCUCACCUCAUCGAUAACAGUGGGCUCAAGAUCUACAAAAACAGCACGGGGGACAUGCUUUCCAGCACCGGUCUCACUGAAGAAGGUGUU